UACGAAGGGGGCUAGCGUUGCUCGGAAUCACUGGGCGUAAAGCGCACGUAGGCGGAUUGCUAAGUCAGGGGUGAAAUCCUGGAGCUCAACUCCAGAACUGCCUUUGAUACUGGCGAUCUCGAGUUCGGGAGAGGUGAGUGGAACUGCGAGUGUAGAGGUGAAAUUCGUAGAUAUUCGGAAGAACACCAGUGGCGAAGGCGGCUCACUGGCCCGGUACUGACGCUGAUGUGCGAAAGCGUGGGGAGCAAACAGG
rnacentral:rRNA from 1 species